UACGUAGGGGGCUAGCGUUGUCCGGAAUCAUUGGGCGUAAAGCGCGUGUAGGCGGUUUGGUAAGUCCGCUGUGAAAGUCGGGGGCUCAACCCUCGGAUGCCGGUGGAUACUGUCGAGCUCGAGUCCGGAAGAGGCGAGUGGAAUUCCUGGUGUAGCGGUGAAAUGCGCAGAUAUCAGGAGGAACACCAAUGGCGAAGGCAGCUCGCUGGGACGUGACUGACGCUGAGACGCGAAAGCGUGGGGAGCAAACAGG
rnacentral:rRNA from 1 species